GAGCAACUCGUCUCCGUGGGCAACAGGGUCUGGAUGGAGGGGCUUUCUGGGUCUUCAUGGCGAUGACGGGCGGCUGCCACGCGACUGGAGGGAGACUGUCCAGAAGACGCGUCUGUCAGAAACCAUGGAGGUCACACGGACCUGACUGGCUUCCUGCUGCUCCACCUCCUUUGGGCUCUAAGAACCACAACCAUUGGACAGGAGAGUGAGGCCUUACUGCAGAGAAACUAUGGGGACAUUCCGGGGACAUCGCUAUCUGCUGAGAGGGUUUAUGCUCCCUCGCAGCUCCGAUGACAUCACCAACAGCACAAUAUGACACGGCCCAAAUCAUUAGCAUGUAUGACAUCACGCCACAAAGGCUUAAGUGUCUCCUGCUGCAUUCGGACCCAGAGUGAAAGUUUGAUGUGGUUGGUUCUGAUUGUUAUCAGCUGGAAUAUGUGAGGAGAUCAUCAGACUGUAAGAAAAGGAAGCUGCAUCACACUGAUAUUAAAAUGAUCCCAUAUCAACUAAAAUGUAAA